rnacentral:rRNA from 1 species
GACGAACGCUGGCGGCGUGCUUAACACAUGCAAGUCGAACGAAGAGCGACGGAAGCUUGCUUCUAUCAAUCUUAGUGGCGAACGGGUGAGUAACGCGUAAUCAACCUGCCCUUCAGAGGGGGACAACAGUUGGAAACGACUGCUAAUACCGCAUACGAUCUAGUCUCGGCAUCGGGGAUGGAUGAAAGGUGGCCUCUACAUGUAAGCUAUCACUGAAGGAGGGGAUUGCGUCUGAUUAGCUAGUUGGAGGGGUAACGGCCCACCAAGGCGAUGAUCAGUAGCCGGUCUGAGAGGAUGAACGGCCACAUUGGGACUGAGACACGGCCCAGACUCCUACGGGAGGCAGCAGUGGGGAAUCUUCCGCAAUGGACGAAAGUCUGACGGAGCAACGCCGCGUGAGUGAUGACGGCCUUCGGGUUGUAAAGCUCUGUUAAUCGGGACGAAAGGCCUUCUUGCGAAUAGUGAGAAGGAUUGACGGUACCGGAAUAGAAAGCCACGGCUAACUACGUG